UACGGGGGGAGCAAGCGUUGUUCGGAUUUACUGGGCGUAAAGGGCGCGUAGGCGGUAGCACAAGUCAGUUGUGAAAUCUCCGGGCUUAACUCGGAAAGGUCAACUGAUACUGUGCGACUAGAGUGCAGAAGGGGCAACUGGAAUUCUCGGUGUAGCGGUGAAAUGCGUAGAUAUCAGGAGGAACACCGGUGGCGAAGGCGGGUCUCUGGGCCGAUACUGACGCUGAGGAGCGAAAGCGUGGGGAGCGAACAGG
rnacentral:rRNA from 1 species